UCCUCCUACGUACACAGAUUUAGGCUCCUCAGAUUGAGGCACUUGAGGAAUGUCUGAAAUGAGGGGUUCAGCAAUCGAUACUAGUUCUUCGUGAUCAACCCCAGAAGCCGCAAGUACCAUUCUUGGGGCAAUGUAAUUUGUAGCAACAAACUCCUCCAAAAUGGUAGCAUUCAGCCUGUUUAUCGCAGAUUCUGGAGCCAUG
rnacentral:misc_RNA from 1 species